rnacentral:tRNA from 1 species
GAACGUUAAAUAGAUUUCCUAUGCUUGAUUACGGGUCGAGAAGAAUUAUCGUUUU